rnacentral:rRNA from 1 species
ACUCAAAGGAGACUGCCAGUGAUAAACUGGAGGAAGGUGGGGAUGACGUCAAGUCAUCAUGGCCCUUACGACCAGGGCUACACACGUGCUACAAUGGCGCAUACAAAGAGAAGCGACCUCGCGAGAGCAAGCGGACCUCAUAAAGUGCGUCGUAGUCCGGAUUGGAGUCUGCAACUCGACUCCAUGAAGUCGGAAUCGCUAGUAAUCGUGGAUCAGAAUGCCACGGUGAAUACGUUCCCGGGCCUUGUACACACCGCCCGUCACACCAUGGGAGUGGGUUGCAAAAGAAGUAGGUAGCUUAACCUUCGGGAGGGCGCUUACCACUUUGUGAUUCAUGACUGGGGUGAAGUCGUAACAA